rnacentral:rRNA from 1 species
AUGUUUCUUUCCAGGGAUUGGAUGAUCAACAGUGAUGUAUCUCUGACUUGGUCACUCCCAAAGAUGACUGGAGUUGAUACAAAUGCUUCUGUGCCUGGGGUUAGCGACCCCGGUGCUGCUCUUAAUGAUCAGUAUGCUGUACUUAUAUCAUAUAGCUGCAAUUAUACAGAAUCAAAGCUUUUCUUUAAGCAAGCCACGAGCUGGCAACCCCGUGCAGCUAGUGAUCUUAUAAUCUCUGUAUCUUCAGAACUGUCAUUACGAUAUCCUAGCCUGAGUGCUCGAGUUCCUCAACAAGCAUCUGGUUCUUCUUCAGUUGUAUCAUUGAACUCAGCUCCAACCACACCAGAUAGUUGUUAUGACAAUCUUAAUGAGCCUAUGAGAAGGUCUGGCUUGGGAAAACAUGGAAAUGGUUCUCGGAGACUAAAUUCAUUUGUUAGUGGCUCUCCAGAAUAA